GAAAAACUACAUUAAACAUAUGUAAGAUUACAAAUUUUCACUAAAAAAAAGACGGCUUAUCUCCAUAAUGUAACAUUACUAUUUUGUAAAAAAACACUAUAUAUAAUUUUGAAAAUAAUAAAUAAUAUGUAAACAUACAACAUAAAAAAUGGAAAUACUACAUUAAACAUAUGUAAGAUUACCAUUUUACAUUUCAAAAUAACAAUAAUAUGUAAACAUACAACAUAAAAAAAUGGAAAUCUACAUUAAACAUAUGUAAGAUUACCAUUUUUCACUAAAAAAAUGGCUUAUCUCCAUAAUGUAACAUUACCAUUUUAUAAAAAAAGAAAAAAAACAUAAAUAUAACUAUUUGACUAUUUGUCCAAAUUCUUCUAUUAAACAUUGUCGUUUUACAUUAAAAAUGGAAAAAUACAUUAAAACUUAAACAUCUAUCUUAAAAUAUAGAUAUUAACUAAAUAUAAAGUAUAAGAAAGAGAAAUACUCAAUAUAUAGAAAAAUAAAUAAUAAAUAUAUAUUAUAAAUAUAUAAAUAUACGAAUUAUAU
rnacentral:lncRNA from 1 species